rnacentral:lncRNA from 13 species
UUUAAAUUUUAACACAACAGUUGCAGUUUGGGAUGCUAAUACUAAUAGAUUUAUCAUAUUUGGAGAAUAGUUAAAAGAGUUAAGUGAAAGAGCCCUAUUUCUUACAACAUUCUUGCAUUCUCAAGCUCCUGUCUCUGCUGGUUAGUUAAGACCUAUACUUCAUUUUUCUUUAUAUUUAUCCAUGUAGUUAAUAUCUGAAUCAAAAAAGACAAUCACAUUUUAUGUUAGAGCAAACUGGAUUAAAUCUUGAUAUCCCAAAAUAUAUUUUGUUAAAAGCAGACCUUUCUGGAAUUUGUGUAUAGUCCCUUAUCUCAUCCAGAGUGCAGAGUCAUUGAAGAAAUAAGACAAAAGAUGGUCAGAUGGAGAGCCCAAGUGUUCCCUUUAUCAUUGUCACAGGCAGCACUGGAUCAGAGCAGGCCACCUCACAUGGGACCUGCUGCAGUACAACUUCCAGCAUGGAGGAGCAGAGCAAGAUGUUGGCUUGCUGUGGGAGACGAGAGACACCCAUGCCUCUGACCUCUAUAUCUGUUACAGAACCCUGGCAACCACAACUCCAUUUUUCAUUUCUAUGAAUUUGACCACUUUGGAUAUCUCAUAGCUCUCUCCUUCAGCUACUAAACCUAAUGGUUGAUACAGCUAUGAGCAAGAGAGUCAGCCAAAAGCAACAACAACAACAACAAAAAAAAACCUUUAAGAAGCAAAUACAGAUGCCACGAUGUCUUGCACCAUAUUUCACAUAUUAAAGACAAAGAUAAUGCUUCAUUACCUCAUGUAAUUUCAAUGUCAGUUUAUCUGGUUUUCUAGCCUGUUAGAAUUUGAAUUUGGAAUAUUAAAUUGACUACUAGACAAAGGAAUAUUGAUAGUAUUAAAUAGCUAUAGCUGAAGACACGAAGAGAUAAAAAUAAAUAAAUAUUAAGUACAAGAAAUAUUUUCA